ensembl:lncRNA
GUCAGACUUCCAGUAAUGAUUAGUGUCACUUUUACCUCCCCAUGCCGUCACAGUGUGUGUCAACACGCUUUCUUCUGACACUUAACGGCAUCAAGACCAAACCAAGGAGUAUAAUCAGCGAAACACAAGAGGUUUGCAAUGGUGCAAUGUCUGGUGUUCACACUGCUCUGGGUCUGUGCUGUGGCACUGCUUUCCCUUGGGAGUACAGAGAGAGUAUCUCAAACGACUGAGCCAAGUGUCUCUAGGAGCACAGACCCGACGGCUGAGACAGUUACUUUAGGACCAGUUGAGACCCAAAGCCCUGGUACACACACAGACCAGAGCAUAGAAGAAGAACAAGAACCACUUCCCUCAGACCCCUGUCAGGAUGACGAGUUGGAUAAGAGGGUGUACCAGAGGGAUUCUCAUGGUGUUAUGCAGCUGGUUCAGGGAGAGGACUACAAAAACACUUGCAACCUAUCAGACACUCCAGGUGAACAGGCCCACUGUCUUAUCUACCCUACCAAUCAACUCAACUGCUCCUGGAAUUUCCAUGGUCUCCCUAACGACAGCCAAUCCUACGCCUCCGUCUUUGUGUGUAAGAAAACUGAGAGAAUCUCCAGUGUGGACUGUGUCACUGAGGCCACAGGAGGCCAAGGAGCCCAGGGAGGGACUGGAAAGGCUGACCGUGUGGUUGGAAAUGUGUCUGCUGGGUGCCAAGGCAGUGUGGACAACAGCGCCACCUCGGUGAUCCUGACUUUCAACGUGUCAUGCUCUGACGUGUGGGGCAUCUACACCCAUAAAUACCAGACCAAAGAUAUUGAUGUGCUGCGCCCGCCCCCCGACAUCAACCUAGCCUGGGUCAGAGAGGGGGUUCUGCUGGUGCAGUGGGGUCUCCCAUCCAGCCGGUCACGCAACAAAUCCAGCUGCUUCCACUACCAGCUACAGAUCAAUGACCAGGUGAGGAACUUUACGGGUUUACUGACAUACAAUGAGACCAACGCAGACCCUACACAUUCACACAAUGUGAAGAUGAGGGUGAGGAAGAGUAAAACCUGCAGAGGAUCUCAACACUGGAGCAGCUGGAGCAACACCACCAAGGUGGCCCCGUUUAAAUUUCCCAAUCAGCUGAACUCUCUGGUGGUCGUUGGCAUCGCUCUGGGAAUACCCAUGAUCCUCCUGUCUCUGCUGCUGCUGAUUCGACUCCAGAGGGAACGUCUGUUUCCCCACAUCCCUGGUCCCCCACUGAAGAUUAAACACCUCUUGGAGAGAGACGACCAGUUUCAGUUUGUCCCUCAGGCCCUGCAGCCCAAAUUUGUUGAGGAGAUCACAGUGGUGGAGGAAGCUAAGGAAACACCUGUGAAUUUGGCCAGUUAAACAAGAUGGCCUGUUUAAAGCCCAAUCAUCCUAAUCCCCUAGACUGUGUAAGGGCCGAUCUGUAAGGAGGAUCCCCUUAGCAGAUGCAGUCAUUACCAUUUGUUAAUACCUAUCCAAUCCUUUCAAGAGUGGAUGCUACUUAUUGACAUGCAUUGUUCUUACAUGCUUAUUAGUGUCUACUCAAUUAAUUGUUGUAAUGUGCUCAGCUUCUACCAGUGUUGUAGUUCUCAAGACCGAGACCAGUCCAGUCUUGAGACCACAUAUGGGUCUUGUCUUGGUGUCAGCUACAUUCGUACUUGGUCGUGACUCAGUCUCAGACAGUGAGGACUCGUAAUUUCUUCCCUAGACCAGUGGAGUAAAAACACUCAAACAUAUACACUCCCAUCUUGAAACAUUAUCUUAACAACCGUUAUCUAUUAUAGACAUGGUUACGCAGUGGUGAACCUAUAGGUCUUCAGUAUGUGACAGGUUAGUACAGUGGUGAACCUAUAGGUCUUCAGUGUGUGACAGGUUAGUACAGUGGUGAACCUAUAGGUCUUCAGUGUGUGACAGGUUAGUAAAGUGGUGAACCUGUAGGCCUUCAGUGUGUAACAGGUUAGUACAGUGGUGAACCUAUAGGACUUCAGUGUGUGUGUGACAGGUUAGUACAGUGGUGAACCUAUAGGUCUUCAGUGUAUGACAGGUUAGUACAGUGGUGAACCUAUAGGUCUUCAGUGUGUGACAGGUUAGUACAGUGGUGAACCUAUAGGACUUCAGUGUGUGACAGGUUAGUACAGUGGUGAACCUAUAGGCUUUCAGUGUGUGACAGUGGUGAACCUAUAGGUCUUCAGUGUGUGUGUGACAGGUUAGUACAGUGGUGAACCUAUAGGUCUUCAGUGUGUGACAGGUUAGUACAGUGGUGAACCUAUAGGUCUUCAGUGUGUGACAGGUUAGUACAGUGGUGAACCUAUAGGUCUUCAGUGUGUGACAGGUUAGUACAGUGGUGAACCUAUAGGUCUUCAGUGUAACAGGUUAGUACAGUGUUGAACCUAUAGGUCUUCAGUAUGUAACAGGUUAGUACAGUGGUGAACCUAUAGGACUUCAGUGUGUGACAGGUUAGUACAGUGGUGAACCUAUAGGUCUUCAGUGUGUGACAGGUUAGUACAGUGGUGAACCUAUAGGUCUUCAGUGUGUGACAGGUUAGUACAGUGGUGAACCUAUAGGCCUUCAGUGUGUGACAGGUUAGUACAGUGGUGAACCUAUAGGUCUUCAGUGUGUGACAGGUUAGUACAGUGGUGAACCUAUAGGUCUUCAGUGUGUGACAGGUUAGUACAGUGGUGAACCUAUAGGCCUUCAGUGUGUGACAGUGGUGAACCUAUAGGUCUUCAGUGUGUGACAGUGGUGAACCUAUAGGUCUUCAGUGUGUGACAGUGGUGAACCUAUAGGUCUUCAGUGUGUAACAGGUUAGUACAGUGGUGAACCUAUAGGUCUUCAGUGUGUAACAGGUUAGUACAGUGGUGAACCUAUAGGUCUUCAGUGUGACAGGUUAGUACAGUGGUGAACCUAUAGGCCUUCAGUGUGUGACAGGUUAGUACAGUGGUGAACCUAUAGGCCUUCAGUGUGUGAUAGGUUAGUACAGUGGUGAACCUAUAGGCCUUCAGUGUGUGACAGGUUAGUACAGUGGUGAACCUAUAGGCCUUCAGUGUGUGACAGGUUGGUGAUUCUGAAAGGACAGCAACCGUAAUACCAGACACUCAUGUAGGAGAGUGCACUUUUUGUAAAACACAAAGGGACAGUGGUGUAGUGGAGGUAUUUUUUCAGUGGGAAUUGCCUAUACUCACUUAAUCCUAUUGAUGCGUAUCAAAGUAGUGUAGUGGAGUAUACGCAGGUAUUUUUUCAGUGGGCAUUGCCUAUACUCACUUAAUCCUAUUGAUGCGUAUCAAAGUAGUGUAGUGGAGGCAGUGGCGACCCAUCAUUAAGGGCAGUUCUUCAGUCCCACCUGUUUAGCAGGGGGUGUGCCUGUUUUGCAUGUUAUUUUGUCAUUAAUAUGUGUCACAUAUCAGUUUGAAAAAAAUGAAUGAGUUAAUAAAGCUUCAUACAAACAUGGUAUUUAUUUUCUUUCUUGAGUGAGGGAGCUCCAAAAUGCAGAUGUUUCCACUUAGUUCAGUGCUUUCUGUGGUGGGGCAGCCAGCGGAAAAUACUGAGCGUAGGAGUUGGUAAAGUUCUCUUGUUGCGCCUUGAAAGUAUGACUCAGUGUUCUGUCACUCAUGGGGACACUACGUCACGGCAAAAUUCAAGCCCCUUGGGUGCUGCCAUAGAGUUACAUUAGAAGUGCCCAUCCAAUAAGGCUCAAGGUCAUUGGCCACAGAUAAAAUGAUGUCAAAUCAUGUUAUAUCUACCAUAGCUUUGAUUGGAUGGAUCAUGUCAACAUCAUACUUUCUAAAUCUUAGCUAGUAAGCUAGCAGUCAUGAUCAUGAAUCUAGUUAGCAAUCUACAGGCAAAUCCUUUUCAAUCCUUG